AGAUAAAUAGAAAUAAAGGAUGGAAAUGGAAAAAUGGAGGAUCGAGGAAGAUACGGCGCGACGUUCACUCCGUAAAACUGAAUGGAACGGUGAUGAAAAUCGUCAGAGGUGCGGAGGAUAGCAUGGAGGAGGAGGGGAGAGAAGACGAGGCAAAGGGUGGAAAGAUUUGGCAACCGAGGUGCGGAUAAAUAAAAACGGCGAAGGAGCGGAGCCAAGAGCGUGGAGAGAUACGUGUCGGGAAAGAAAACGAGGAGAAUGGAUGCGAUCUGGGGGAGGGAGUGUGAACGAUGUCUGCUCUUUGAACCGGCGGAGGAUCUAAUGACGCGGACUUCCGGCUGCACUCGCUCCAGUUUCGAAUUUUAUCGAAAUUUUAUCGACCGUCGUGACAAUUUUUCACCUCUUUCUUUCUUUCACAGCUUUGCGUGCGAAAUCUCUCCUUUCUCGCUAUUCUUUGAGGGUGUCGUGAUUGCUUCUCCCCUUCCCGCUUCCCCCCCCCCCUCCCGCUUUAUCGAA